UACAGAGGUCUCAAGCGUUGUUCGGAUUCAUUGGGCGUAAAGGGUGCGUAGGCGGCGCGGUAAGUCGGGUGUGAAAUCUCGGAGCUUAACUUCGAAACUGCAUUCGAUACUGCCGUGCUUGAGGACUGGAGAGGAGACUGGAAUUUACGGUGUAGCGGUGAAAUGCGUAGAUAUCGGGAAGAACACCGGUGGCGCAAGCGACUUGCUGGGCCAUAACUGACACUGAGGAACGAAAGCUAGGGGAGCGAAUGGG
rnacentral:rRNA from 1 species